rnacentral:rRNA from 1 species
AAACCAGCACCUCAAGUGGUCAGGAUGAUUAUUGGGCCUAAAGCAUCCGUAGCCUGGUGCAUAAGUUCUCGGUUAAAUCCAUAUGCUCAACAUAUGGGCUGCCGGGAAUACUGUGCACCUAGGGAGUGGGAGAGGUAGACGGUACUCGGUGGGAAGGGGUAAAAUCCUUUGAUCUAUUGAUGACCACCUGUGGCGAAGGCGGUCUACCAGAACACGUUCGACGGUGAGGGAUGAAAGCUGGGGGAGCAAACCGAAUUAGAUACCCGAGUAGUCC